UGGGGAAUUUUGGACAAUGGGCGCAAGCCUGAUCCAGCCAUGCCGCGUGAGUGAAGAAGGCCUUCGGGUUGUAAAGCUCUUUCGGACGGGAAGAAAUGGCGGGCUCUAACAUAGCCUGUCGAUGACGGUACCGUAAGAAGAAGCACCGGCUAACUACGUGCCAGCAGCCGCGGUAAUACGUAGGGGGCAAGCGUUGUCCGGAUUUACUGGGUGUAAAGGGUGCUCAGGCGGAUUUGUAAGUCAGAGGUGAAAUCUUACAGCUUAACUGUGAAACUGCCUUUGAUACUGCAAGCAUAGAGUAUGGAAGAGAGUGAUGGAAUAGCUGGUGUAGCUGUGAAAUGCGUAGAUAUCAGAUAGAACACCAAUGGCGAAGGCAGUCACUUGGUCCAUUACUGACGCUAAAGCACGAAAGCGUGGGUAGCAA
rnacentral:rRNA from 1 species